rnacentral:rRNA from 1 species
AAGCUCGUAGUUGAAUUUCGGGGUUAGUAGGUUGGUCAUGCCUCUGGUAUGUACUGGUCUCACUGAUUCCUCCUUCCUUAUGAACCGUAAUGCCAUUAAUUUGGUGUUGCGGGGAAUUUGGACUGUUACUUUGAAAAAAUUAGAGUGUUUAAAGCAAGCUAACGCUUGAAUGCAUUAGCAUGGAAUAAUGAAAUAGGACGUUCGAUCUUAUUUUGUUGGUUUCUAGGAUUGACGUAAUGAUUAAUAGGGAUAGUUGGG